rnacentral:rRNA from 1 species
GUUAGGAAUUUUGCACAAUGGGGGAAACCCUGAUGCAGCAACGCCGCGUGGAUGAAGAAGGCCUUCGGGUCGUAAAAUCCUUUUCAACGGGAAGAAACGGACGGUACCGUUGGAAUAAGCAUCGGCUAACUACGUGCCAGCAGCCGCGGUAAUACGUAGGAUGCAAGCGUUAUCCGGAUUUACUGGGCGUAAAGAGCGCGUAGGUGGUUUCGUAAGUUGGGCGUGAAAGCCCCCGGCUUAACUGGGGAGGGUCGUUCAAAACUACGAGACUUGAGGGUGGAAGAGGAGAUUGGAAUUCCCGGUGUAGUGGUGAAAUGCGUAGAUAUCGGGAGGAACACCUGUGGUGAAGACGAAUCUCUGGGCCACUCCUGACACUGAGGCGCGAAAGCGUGGGGAGCGAACGGAAUUAGAAACCCCGGUAGUCC